ACGGCGGGGCUGUGUUUCUGGGACUUUCCUCUCUGAGGUCUGAGGCCUGAAAUAGUUGCGCUCCAGUGGGCGCCCCUAGGCUUGGCCACACUAUCUGCCCCGCCCGCUGCGGGGAGCGGUCUAGACACAGAUCCCCUCUCCCCGCAUAAUGGCGCGAGCCUCGCCAAACGCUCGGAGCGACGUGAACGGGCCCCGGGGUACCCCGGCGCGCUGAAGCUGCCGCUGCUGCGACGCAGCCUUGUGGCCGUCUACGAGGACGCCUCGGCUCACUCCUCCGCCUUCCUGCGCUCCCAGCGCAGCUACUCCCGACGGCAGCGGCGCAGAGUGUGGCUGCCGCCGCCCCGCGCCAACCAAUCAGGAAGCAGAGGCGUACUCCGGGCACGCCUCCCCUAUGACGUCACGCAGCCGCCCAGGAAGCCCCGCCCGGUGGCCUUACCUGGGAAAGGUCUUGGGAGAGGGCAGUGGUUGUGGGCUCUCGAAGGGUGAAAAUAACCGCCAUGUGAAUCGCACACAUUAUACCUGCCCUGAGAAAUACAGUCAGGGUAAACAGUUUCCUAAUUUUAAAAUGUGCUUAUUCCCUGAAUCGCUCUUCAACCACCCAUCCAUCCGUCUGUCCAUCCAUCUGGACCAUCCACUCAACCAUAGCUACUGGGCACCAGCUCAGCCAGGAGCUGAGCUGGGUGCUGGUGAUAAAUAACGAGGAACCUUGUGCUUGUGUUCACGGAGCUCGGAGGCUAGUGAAGAAGUCUGACAGUAACAAAUGCUUAUACCAAUCAUGCUUUUAUUACAAUCGUGAUCCAUUCUAGGAACAUAAGUGUUCUCAGCAGCUGGCACAGUGCCUGAUACAGACUGAGUGCCCAGGAAAUGCCCGCAGAAUGAAAGCAAGGAGUUAUCCUGCACAGACCCAUGGGAUCUUGUGGAGGAAACUGAGUCGCACGACGUGACGGAACUCGUCUUAGGUCUGUAGGACUCCAGAGGGAAUUCCUAGCUACUAUGCUUCACUGUCUUAUGUGAAAACCCCAGCCUCAUCUAUGCCAGAAAAUGCUGAGUAAAAGGCAGAAGUCCUCUGUCUACCCGUCUGUGGACGGCCCCAGCCGAGGCGGGACUCUGCAGAGGUCCUAUAGUAAGUAUCAGGGGACCCAGCCCAGCUUUCGCUCUGGGACACAAACCACGGAGAGUGUGUGUGGAGCAGCUGGUGCCUCUACUACCUGUGUGCCUUUUCCACGAGCAGUGCUUCUCGGGGCCUGGGGCAAGCCAGCUGGGGCAGACAAUUGCCAUCUGCCCAGAUGGCGUUAGAUCUGGGGGCAGGAGCAGCCAGGAGGGGACCUCUUCCCCGCCCACCCACACACAUUGCUAAUUGAAGACGAGUUUCUGGGUUAUAAGUGGGGCGAGCUGGGGGAGGCCUGAGGACAGCCUACGUGGCCCUUUUGUGACAAGAUGUCGUGGUUCGCACGUGACGGCUUCCCAGGGAUGCGGACCUCCCAGGGAGGCCAGUCUGGCAUGGCAGCUGGUGUGCCCACUCAUAAACCAGAACCAGGGCUGGGACCCUUCUGUCCUCACUGCCACUUGAUUUCGAGGGCCUCUUUGGCCUCCCCCUACCCGGGUCCAGGCACCCAGGUUCCCCUGGACAGGACUCGCUAACUUCAGAUCUCCCCCCUAGGUCUGGUCUGGCCUUCCUUUCCCACCCGGAGGGUGUAAAGCCUCCGCAUGCCAACUGUCCACUUUAUCCCCCUUUAUCUUGGAGGGAAGGAGACCUUGCCGAGGUCCCUCGAAAAGUUGCUGUCACACACUUCCCCAAGGCAAAGGUCUGGCCUAUAUUCUCCACCUAGCGCUUCUUCAGAGAAUGGAGAUCCAGCUUCUCCAUCUCUGCCUCGUCAGAAAAGUAGCUGGAAGCUUCUCCCACUGAGAACAGACUGAGCUCUGCCUCCCCAGGCACCCUGUGAAAUUGAGCCUGAGUGUUCACGCUGUGGCAGG